rnacentral:rRNA from 1 species
AUUGAACGCUGGCGGCAGGCCUAACACAUGCAAGUCGAGCGAGCGGCGGACGGGUGAGUAAUGUAUGGGGACUGCCCGAUAGCGGGGGAUAACUACUGGAAACGGUGGCUAAUACCGCAUACUAUCGGAUAACACAUAUGGGAUUAGAUAGUAGGUGGGGUAAAGGCUCACCUAGGCGACGAUCUAUAGCUGUUCUGAGAGGAUGAUCUGCCACACGGGGCCGUGGAAACGGACCAGUCUCCUGCGGAGUCUGCAGUGGGGAUUAUUGCACAAUGGGCGCAAGCCUUAUGCUGCCAUGCCGCGUGUAUGAAGGAUGCCUGAGGGUUUUAAAGUACUUUCAGCGGGGAGGCGUUACCCGCAGAAGAAGCACAGGCUAACUCCGUGCCAGCAGCCGCGGUAAUAC